UACGGGGGGAGGCAAGCGUUGUUCGGAUUUACUGGGCGUAAAGGGCGCGUAGGCGGUCAGCACAAGUCAGUUGUGAAAUCUCCGGGCUUAACUCGGAAAGGUCAACUGAUACUGUGCGACUAGAGUGCGGAAGGGGCAACUGGAAUUCUCGGUGUAGCGGUGAAAUGCGUAGAUAUCGAGAGGAACACCUGCGGCGAAGGCGGGUUGCUGGGCCGACACUGACGCUGAUGCGCGAAAGCCAGGGGAGCGAACGGG
rnacentral:rRNA from 1 species